GAUGGCACGCGCCUGGCAGCGUCCACUUCUUAGGGACGGCCUCUGCCGCGCCGGGCGCCUUUCCCUCCCUGUCCGCGGUUCUCGUGGCCUGGCCGCUGGUGCCCCUGGCCGACGCGGGGCACUCACGCCGGUCCCGGGGUCCUGGGGUCCCGGGGUCCACAGCCCGCGGCACAGGCAGCUGGUCAGGAGCGACGCCUCGCUUCGGAAUUGAACACAAGCUUCAUGGGAGCAGGACUGCAUCGGUCUUAGUCACUGUUCUCUCUCAAGCACCUGGCCCACAGGAGGGCUCUAUACCACGUAUGGGAAUAAACCUGGCCCAGGUGGACUUGGGGGACUUCACAUGGUCUUUGAACAAGGAAACAGUUUUCGGGAAGCAAUGGAGAUGGAAACAUACGCGGAGUCACCUUCAUUUGCUUUAGGUAGAAUUUUAUUUGUGGGAAUGAAGUCCACCCCGAGAAAUGCUUUGAGGCCUUGCAUCUAGCCACCCAUUUAUUGGUGCAUUUGACGCCAUUUGCUGAGUGCUGGGUCCAUGCCAUGCUCUGUGCAGGGUGCUGGCCGCGCACAGAUGAGAAGCCGGGAUUCUCCAGGAAUCUUCUCAAAUUGGCUUAAACACAAAGGAGAAUCCAUUGGGUCACAUGGCUGAAAAGUCUAGGGGUUGGUCUGCUUGAUUCCAAAACCCCUAUUCUUUAAAAACAACUUAAAAGGUUAUUGUAUAAUUUAUAUACAGUGAAACACCUAGAUCUUAAAUGGAUGGUUUGGUCGGUUUAGACAGAUGCAUGCACUUGUGUAAUAACUCCCAUACCUACCAAGGAAGAGGACAUCUCCAUUACCCCAGAAAGUUCCCUCAUGCCCCCUUCCAGGCAAGCCCUGCCAUCCUAGGGGCAAACACGAUUCCAAUUUCUUUCACCAUAGAUAAGCUGUGUGUCUUUUGGAAUUUCAUGGGAAUGGACCCAUAUGGAAGGGAGCCUUUUGUGUCUGCCUUCCUUUGCUUAGCAUAGAGUUUGGUGUUGGCAGCCAUCUUGUUGCAAGGAUCGAUUCAUUCCUAUUCCUGCUGAGUAGUGUUCCAUUAUACAGACACACCCCAUUUUGUUUUUCCAUUAAUCUCUCGAUGGGUGGUUGGGUUGUUUGCAGUCACGGGCUACGUGAAUAAAGCUGCUAUGAACAUU